AGCGUACACGGUGGAUGCCCUGGCAGUCAGAGGCGAUGAAGGACGUGCUAAUCUGCGAUAAGCGUCGGUAAGGUGAUAUGAACCGUUAUAACCGGCGAUUUCCGAAUGGGGAAACCCAGUGUGUUUCGACACACUAUCAUUAACUGAAUCCAUAGGUUAAUGAGGCGAACCGGGGGAACUGAAACAUCUAAGUACCCCGAGGAAAAGAAAUCAACCGAGAUUCCCCCAGUAGCGGCGAGCGAACGGGGAGCAGCCCAGAGCCUGAAUCAGUAUGUGUGUUAGUGGAAGCGUCUGGAAAGGCGCGCGAUACAGGGUGACAGCCCCGUACACAAAAAUGCACAUGCUGUGAGCUCGAUGAGUAGGGCGGGACACGUGGUAUCCUGUCUGAAUAUGGGGGGACCAUCCUCCAAGGCUAAAUACUCCUGACUGACCGAUAGUGAACCAGUACCGUGAGGGAAAGGCGAAAAGAACCCCGGCGAGGGGAGUGAAAAAGAACCUGAAACCGUGUACGUACAAGCAGUGGGAGCACGCUUAGGCGUGUGACUGCGUACCUUUUGUAUAAUGGGUCAGCGACUUAUAUUCUGUAGCAAGGUUAACCGAAUAGGGGAGCCGAAGGGAAACCGAGUCUUAACUGGGCGUUAAGUUGCAGGGUAUAGACCCGAAACCCGGUGAUCUAGCCAUGGGCAGGUUGAAGGUUGGGUAACACUAACUGGAGGACCGAACCGACUAAUGUUGAAAAAUUAGCGGAUGACUUGUGGCUGGGGGUGAAAGGCCAAUCAAACCGGGAGAUAGCUGGUUCUCCCCGAAAGCUAUUUAGGUAGCGCCUCGUGAAUUCAUCUCCGGGGGUAGAGCACUGUUUCGGCAAGGGGGUCAUCCCGACUUACCAACCCGAUGCAAACUGCGAAUACCGGAGAAUGUUAUCACGGGAGACACACGGCGGGUGCUAACGUCCGUCGUGAAGAGGGAAACAACCCAGACCGCCAGCUAAGGUCCCAAAGUCAUGGUUAAGUGGGAAACGAUGUGGGAAGGCCCAGACAGCCAGGAUGUUGGCUUAGAAGCAGCCAUCAUUUAAAGAAAGCGUAAUAGCUCACUGGUCGAGUCGGCCUGCGCGGAAGAUGUAACGGGGCUAAACCAUGCACCGAAGCUGCGGCAGCGACGCUGAUGCGUUGUUGGGUAGGGGAGCGUUCUGUAAGCCUGCGAAGGUGUGCUGUGAGGCAUGCUGGAGGUAUCAGAAGUGCGAAUGCUGACAUAAGUAACGAUAAAGCGGGUGAAAAGCCCGCUCGCCGGAAGACCAAGGGUUCCUGUCCAACGUUAAUCGGGGCAGGGUGAGUCGACCCCUAAGGCGAGGCCGAAAGGCGUAGUCGAUGGGAAACAGGUUAAUAUUCCUGUACUUGGUGUUACUGCGAAGGGGGGACGGAGAAGGCUAUGUUGGCCGGGCGACGGUUGUCCCGGUUUAAGCGUGUAGGCUGGUUUUCCAGGCAAAUCCGGAAAAUCAAGGCUGAGGCGUGAUGACGAGGCACUACGGUGCUGAAGCAACAAAUGCCCUGCUUCCAGGAAAAGCCUCUAAGCAUCAGGUAACAUCAAAUCGUACCCCAAACCGACACAGGUGGUCAGGUAGAGAAUACCAAGGCGCUUGAGAGAACUCGGGUGAAGGAACUAGGCAAAAUGGUGCCGUAACUUCGGGAGAAGGCACGCUGAUAUGUAGGUGAAGUCCCUCGCGGAUGGAGCUGAAAUCAGUCGAAGAUACCAGCUGGCUGCAACUGUUUAUUAAAAACACAGCACUGUGCAAACACGAAAGUGGACGUAUACGGUGUGACGCCUGCCCGGUGCCGGAAGGUUAAUUGAUGGGGUCAGCGCAAGCGAAGCUCUUGAUCGAAGCCCCGGUAAACGGCGGCCGUAACUAUAACGGUCCUAAGGUAGCGAAAUUCCUUGUCGGGUAAGUUCCGACCUGCACGAAUGGCGUAAUGAUGGCCAGGCUGUCUCCACCCGAGACUCAGUGAAAUUGAACUCGCUGUGAAGAUGCAGUGUACCCGCGGCAAGACGGAAAGACCCCGUGAACCUUUACUAUAGCUUGACACUGAACAUUGAGCCUUGAUGUGUAGGAUAGGUGGGAGGCUUUGAAGUGUGGACGCCAGUCUGCAUGGAGCCGACCUUGAAAUACCACCCUUUAAUGUUUGAUGUUCUAACGUUGACCCGUGAUCCGGGUUGCGGACAGUGUCUGGUGGGUAGUUUGACUGGGGCGGUCUCCUCCUAAAGAGUAACGGAGGAGCACGAAGGUUGGCUAAUCCUGGUCGGACAUCAGGAGGUUAGUGCAAUGGCAUAAGCCAGCUUGACUGCGAGCGUGACGGCGCGAGCAGGUGCGAAAGCAGGUCAUAGUGAUCCGGUGGUUCUGAAUGGAAGGGCCAUCGCUCAACGGAUAAAAGGUACUCCGGGGAUAACAGGCUGAUACCGCCCAAGAGUUCAUAUCGACGGCGGUGUUUGGCACCUCGAUGUCGGCUCAUCACAUCCUGGGGCUGAAGUAGGUCCCAAGGGUAUGGCUGUUCGCCAUUUAAAGUGGUACGCGAGCUGGGUUUAGAACGUCGUGAGACAGUUCGGUCCCUAUCUGCCGUGGGCGCUGGAGAACUGAGGGGGGCUGCUCCUAGUACGAGAGGACCGGAGUGGACGCAUCACUGGUGUUCGGGUUGUCAUGCCAAUGGCACUGCCCGGUAGCUAAAUGCGGAAGAGAUAAGUGCUGAAAGCAUCUAAGCACGAAACUUGCCCCGAGAUGAGUUCUCCCUGACUCCUUGA
rnacentral:rRNA from 1 species